GUUGUGGCUCAGAGGUAGAGCAUCUGCCUUGCAUGCAGGAAGUCGCAGGUUCAGUCCCUAAUGGAACCU